rnacentral:lncRNA from 1 species
AGGGGAAGAUUUAAACAACUCCUUAGGGUCGAAUUCAUUGUUUUGGACCCCUUCUUCAUCAAACAACACUUUAGGACUCUUUUUCAUUUCUUUUCAACUCUUUUCGCAUUCUUUUCAUAUUUUUCUUUUCUUUUUUUCUUUCUUUUUACCCGUGCCUAUGGCACAUAAUUCCUUAUGAAAAACACUUCCCCCACACUUGUUUU